UACGUAGGGGGCAAGCGUUGUCCGGAAUCAUUGGGCGUAAAGCGCGCGUAGGCGGUUCGGUAAGUCGGCUGUGAAAGUCCAGGGCUCAACCCUGGGAUGCCGGUCGAUACUGCCGGACUAGAGUUCGGAAGAGGCGAGUGGAAUUCCCGGUGUAGCGGUGAAAUGCGCAGAGAUCGGGAGGAACACCAAUGGCGAAGGCAGCUCGCUGGGACGUUACUGACGCUGAGACGCGAAAGCGUGGGGAGCAAACAGG
rnacentral:rRNA from 1 species